AUUGAACGCUGGCGGCAGGCCUAACACAUGCAAGUCGAACGGUAACAGGAAACAGCUUGCUGUUUCGCUGACGAGUGGCGGACGGGUGAGUAAUGUCUGGGAAACUGCCUGAUGGAGGGGGAUAACUACUGGAAACGGUAGCUAAUACCGCAUAACGUCGCAAGACCAAAGAGGGGGACCUUCGGGCCUCUUGCCAUCGGAUGUGCCCAGAUGGGAUUAGCUAGUAGGUGGGGUAACGGCUCACCUAGGCGACGAUCCCUAGCUGGUCUGAGAGGAUGACCAGCCACACUGGAACUGAGACACGGUCCAGACUCCUACGGGAGGCAGCAGUGGGGAAUAUUGCACAAUGGGCGCAAGCCUGAUGCAGCCAUGCCGCGUGUAUGAAGAAGGCCUUCGGGUUGUAAAGUACUUUCAGCGGGGAGGAAGGGAGUAAAGUUAAUACCUUUACUCAUUGACGUUACCUGCAGAAGAAGCACCGGCUAACUCCGUG
rnacentral:rRNA from 1 species